AAUAAGGUGGCUGAGUUGGAGGCGUUAGAUUGUAAAUCUAAGAAGAAGUUUAAACUUCCUUAUUA
rnacentral:tRNA from 1 species